UCUGAUCACAUUCUGGUAAUCCAAUCUUACACAUAUUCCGCGGACAGUCUGCAUUCGUCCGACAAUGUAUUGAUAUCACGUACAUAUCUGCAUUAACAAACAAAUCAUUUUAACAUAAAAUCCAUGGUAUAUGUCAAAUGAGGAAAAUUUGAAAUGUAAACUUGUUUGAAGUUUAUCAUUGCUACAUGAACAUGAAGCAUAAACAAAUUACUCAAAUAGCACAUUAUUUAUGAACCUGGUGCAAAAAUGAGGAAAGUCAAUAAAAAUAUCGUUGUAAGAGAAGAAAUCCUUGUAAUGCCCAUCUUUACACAAAGAACAUAUUAUAAUCUAUAGGUCUAUUUAUAUAUGGAUAUGGUGAGACUGCACCUUGACCAUAUUAAAUUGCAUAAAAAAAACUGAUAAAUUAAAUGUCAAUAAAGUUUUUCCUAAAAAAAAAAAAGUCAAUAAAUUGUUGACAAUAAAACAAUAAGUUGAAUGGUUCUCAUAAAUAAAGUUGUUGACCAUAAAACAACAAGUUGAAGCGGUGGUUAUCAUAAUAAAUACUCUAUCUGUUUUUUUUUUUGGAUAAAGCAAGAAGUAGGUUAGAUAUCAAGGAGCCCAGAGACAUCCCAACUAGGUUGGCACUCCACUGGAACUCCCAUUCUUUGCCGCCUACUCCAUAUAUAUUAUUAAAAAAGGAAAAAUAUAUAUACAAAACGGGGGAUUAAGCCAAAACCCUCGAAACAAAGCAAAACGAGAAAAUAAAAAGGGAAAACGAUAAUUAGACAAGCCACUCCUAUCCUUAAAGAAGUCUAAAGACAACGAUGGUGGUAACACGUCAAACCAAACCGUGCCAGACAAAUCAUGCCCAAGAGAAGCCAUCAUAUCCGCACAACAAUUUCCUUCACAAAAUAUGAGAACAGACAUCAAUAAUACCAAAUUGAAAACAAUUAUGCCAGCGGUUCCGAAGACGGAAAGGAAUCAAUUUUUGUCCAAAACCAUCUAGAAACAUAACAUAAAGAGACCACUGGCUCAGCCAAAAAUACCAAUGAUGGCCAUGAGCAAGAUACAAUUCACUAAGUGUGAUACUGGCGUCAUGGUUACCAACUCCGCAUACAUUCCAAUAAAUAAUCUUUAUUGAUUAUUGGGAAGAGGACCCUGAGAACGGGUUGCAUAUGUUGCCUUGGAUGCCUUUUUACUCUAUGCCUUUGUCAGAUAAGGAGUAAAGGGAACAUCUUCUGCAACAUUGUUCACCAAUGAAUCUUGCACCAUUUCCAUUUCCUUUUGUAGCACCAGAUCCACCGAAUCAUCCACUCUAGCCAUUAUAUUAUGUAUAUUGGGAAAAUCAGAGACCAAAGUAAGGAUUGGUUGAGUAUUAUUACCCAUAACCUGAGGACAAACUAUUUCAUCAGAGACAUUAUGCAAAGUCAUGUAAAAAGUGGUGCUUGAAUUCUCAAUGUGUUGUGGGGAUGUAACUACAAUCUGUUGUUCUACCUGAACCUCUUUGUUCCCAAGCGGAACAUCUUGUGUUACAGUUUGCGUUACCGGAACCUCCUGUUCUAUUGACUACGUGAUUAGAUUGCUGAUAUCUUCUGUAACAGCCCGAUUUUCACUAGAUUUAUUUUUAAUUGUUUUAUUAUGUGUUUAUAUGUGCUUAUGUAUGAUCAUUCAUCAUUGGGUGUAUUUUCAUGGGUUUUCGCGUUAGAAGAGUAAUUUAGUCAUUUUGGACUUAAGGGUAUUUUGGUCAUUUCACAAGUACGGGUAAAUUAUAAAUUUUGGUGAGAAUUAUUUUUAGUGUUUAGUGAGAACCGUUAUUUUACUAAGUUACUAGAGUAGUAAUUAAUAUUUUACCGUUUAGUGACCGUUGGUAAAAUUUUACCGUUAAUUGAUCGUUAUUAGUGAUUUACCGUUGGGUGUGUAGAAACAUUUAGAUUUGAGUUGGAAUGGGUUAAAUCCACUAAGCUUUAGGCUUAGGCCCAUUCAGGGGACAUACUAUAAAAACCUUGUCUUAGAGGAAAUUUUCUCACACUUUCAUUUCACAAGAUAUCUUUGAGAGUGUUAGAGAGAGAAAGUGGGAGCAAGAGGAAAAAUGGUUAGAGAGAAGGGGAACUUGAAGAAUCAAGGAGUGGAAGAGAGCUAGGAGCAAAACUGAAGCUUAAGCUAGGGAGAUUAAUCUAACUAAGGUAAGGGGGUUGGAAUUCAUCAUAAUCAUAAUUGCAAUUUUUCAAUUAUUGUAUGAAUAAGUGCUUAAUUGGAUAAUUAAUUAUUUGUUAAUGGAUGAUGAAAUUCGUGCUCUAAUUAUGAUCAAUUUUUAAAUGUAUGAAGUUAUGAAUAAUUGGAUUGUUGUUAGUUGAAUUUCAGGUUCAAAGUAUGAGAAAAUGGUAUAUGUUGAAAAUAUGCUCAAUUGGUUGAAUUAUGCUAUGUUGUUGUUGAAUUGUGAUAAUAGUCAUGUUCAAUUGAUGUUGUUGGUGCUAAGUGAUAUUGUUGUUGAUGAUUCAUGGCUUGGGUGUUCAUAAUUCAUGAUUUGAUGAUGUGAAAUAAGUUAUUGUUGUUGAUUUGGUGAAAAUGGGUACUUAUGAGUUUUGCUCAAAUUGUUGGAUUGAAAUAUUGUGUUGUUGAAUUAUGGUUGAAUUUAUGUCUAAAUGAAGUGUUUUUGAAUUAGAUAUGUUGUUGUUGUUGUUGAAUUAUACCAUAGGUAUUCCAUUUUAUGAAGUUGUUGUCUGUAUUAGUGAAGUUGUGCUAGAUGUUCAUGUGAAGGACCCAAAAUGAAAUUUGAUAUACAAAGUUGUUGACGGAGUUGUCGACGUGGUUGGAUGAGUUAAACUUGAUGGAAUUUCUGUUUUUAUGUUGUAGUUGUGAUAGUCGAGUCGUUUGGGAGAAAUCGGGAGUUUCGGGUGAAAAUUCAAUUGUUAACCGCUUUGGAAAAAUGAUUUUUUGUGUAAGGCUUUGGAAAAUGAAUUUGGGGUUGUUGAACUUGAAUUUUUCUGUACAUUAAGAUAGAGCUAAGUGUCAUGAACAUGUAGGUGAAAACGGUGUCGAAAACGGAUUAACGGUUUGAUUUUUAUGCGCGAAAACGUGAAUGUUGAAAAUCUGAUGCUGUCUGUCAAACUAUGAUCGUGCCACGAUGCAGGGCCAACGUGCGACGAUUUUGAUCAGGAUUUCAGUCUUUCUGAUCCUAGAAAAAUCGUGCCACGAUGGGAGACCAACGUGCCACGAUGUUGUUUUACUAGAAACCUUAAAAAUGCAAUUUUCUUCGAUCCAAUUGUUUCCAAACUUAUUCCUAAGUGUAGGGACUCUAUCCUAACCAUCUAGGGGUGCUUUUAUGAAAGAAUUAACCUUGUGUAAAGGGUCUAGUGAACCUUUGUGUUGUUUUGUCUUGAGAAUUAUCAAUGUUGGUCGUUUGCCACUUGAUACGUUUUUUGUUGGAAAUGUUCCUUGAGCCAAUUGUUUUAUGUUCUAACGUGACUAUUCUCAUAUGACUAAGUGAAGUUGUAUGAAUGAAUGAUUGUAUUAUGGAUAUAAUGUUUAUCAUGAGAUGUGUAUGCUAUCUUACUUAGGAUGUAAGAAAUGCUUGAAAUGGUAAGGCUAUAUGUGAUAGUUGAUGUUGAAUGACAUUGUUGAUUAUUGAUGAUCAUGUUGAUGUGGUGAUAAUGAAUCUUAUGAUUUGAUUGUGUAUGGACAUGUUUUUUGAUAAUGCAAAUGUUGUGGAGAUGAUCAAUAUAUUUGGAAGUUGUCCUCUAUAUUGUGGUGAAAAUUGUGGAUUGAUGUCGCAUUAUUGAGUCUUGUUACAUGUCCAUGCAUCAUAGUCAUGUUGAGAUUUUAUAUGAUGUUUUUGUUGUAUCAUUGGGCUCCGGCCUAGCAGAGAUCAUUUAGUGAUCUAGUUUUGUGGACUUCGGUCUUGCAGAAAUCCAUUAGUGAUCUAGAUUGUGGGCUUCGGCCUUGCAGAGACCUUGAUGGUCUAGAUAUAGGUGACGACCUUGAAGUGAAACGGUACCACAUGCAUAUAUGUGUCGAACUAGGUGCACAUCAGGACAUGAGUCUUAUUUUGAAAUGUGAUUGGUGAUUGUGUAUGAAUAACUGUGAAUUGAUGAUUGUUCAUGACACAUGUGAUUGGUGAUUAAUUGAUGUGAGAUAUUGGGAUCAUGAUAUAUAAGUAUAUAUAUAUAUAUAUAUAUAUAUAUAUAUAUAUGUGUGUGUGUGUGUGUGUGUGUGUGUGUGUGUGAAUAUUAUUAUUGAUCAAGUACAUGAUGUUUGAAUUGAAUUAUUCAUGUUAAUUGUUAUGUGGAUUAUGAUGAUGUAAUACUUACCCCCAGUGGUUUUGACCGUCUGUCUGUAUGGAUGGGUAGACGUUGUGCAGGAUUAGCUGCUCUGGUGAGUUCUUUGUGCUUGGUGGAUAUCGGGUCGGGAGCUAUCUCCGGUAUCAGUAUUGUAGAGUCUAGGAUGGCUCUAAUCUAGGCGUCUGUUGUUGUCUAGAUUAUUUGUUUGGAUUAUUUAUGAUUCAUCCAUUGUUGGGAUUUUGGAGAUUCAUCUAUGUUGAUGUCUAAAGUAGUCUGGUUUAUAUUCUGCUGCGAC
rnacentral:lncRNA from 1 species